rnacentral:rRNA from 1 species
UACGAAGGGGGCUAGCGUUGCUCGGAAUCACUGGGCGUAAAGCGCACGUAGGCGGAUCUUUAAGUCAGGGGUGAAAUCCUGGAGCUCAACUCCAGAACUGCCUUGAUACUGGUGAGCUUGAGUCCGGAAGAGGUGAGUGGAACUGCGAGUGUAGAGGUGAAAUUCGUAGAUAUUCGCAAGAACACCAGUGGCGAAGGCGGCUCGACUGGUCCGGU